rnacentral:rRNA from 1 species
UACGGAGGGGGCUAGCGUUGUUCGGAAUUACUGGGCGUAAAGCGCACGUAGGCGGCUUUGUAAGUUAGAGGUGAAAGCCCAGAGCUCAACUCUGGAAUUGCCUUUGAGACUGAGUGGCUUGAGUACGGGAGAGGUGAGUGGAAUUCCCAGUGUAGAGGUGAAAUUCGUAGAUAUUGGGAAGAACACCGGUGGCGAAGGCGGGUCUCUGGGCCGAUACUGACGCUGAGGAGCGAAAGCGUGGGGAGCGAACAGG